CCAUUCCGACAUACAACUACAUUACCCAGAGGUUUGGUCGUUCCAUGUGACCUUUCAUCGUCCAUCCGAUUCGCUGGGCUUUGUUUAAAUUGUGUAGCACUACGGAAGUGGUUCAUUUACCGACCUUUGAGGGAAAGCAGAGAAGAGAACUUCGCACGGAAUGGACUGCAAAUCUUUGUAACCGUGCAGUUAUUGGAGGGGGCUGAUAAUGAAGCACACAGCUGAUGGAAAACGGCUGUAGAUGGUUUGAAGACUAAUUGGAAUAGCUGGUAAGUGUCUUAACUUAUUAGUCUUGUCUUAUUUGGUCUGGGACAAAAGCUUCAGUGUUGCCAAACUUGUUUGGUUGUAAACUGCAGUUUGUCCAGUCAGACCUAGAUAACAGGGGCAGCGAAGACGCUGAUUCUGGCAGUAGCAGGUGUGAGCAUGUAUAAAGCUGUUUGAUGCUCUUGUAUGAUACUGCAGACAAUAUUUUAUAUCACUUUAUUUUGUCACUUUUGAUCGUACCUGUAGUUUUACUAUUGUAGAGAGAUUUGAAAUGUUUGUAUGGAAGUUCUGUCACUUACGAUUCCCUGCUGCUUAUCUGUUAAAGGUCUGAUCAUGAAACACACAGCUGAUGGGAAAACGGCUGUAGAUGGUUUGAAGACUAAUUGGAAUGGCUGGAGUCUGGAGUGUCCUGCCAUCGUGGAGAACUUCUGAGUGACUGUCGGUAAGCUUCUUGGGUAAAAUGGCACUUCUAUAAACAAUUUUGUGAUUCAUGAAAUAUGCCAAGCUGUUUUUGUUUACUUCUGAUUAAAAAUGGUUUGUUCAUUCCAAAAUCCAUGGGUGUUUGUUUUUUUCUUUAGCUCAGAAAUUCAUGAUUCAAACAAGUAUUGCACUAAAACGACUUCAAAUUGCUUGGAUAAUGUGAUGCUCUACCCAGCUUGACAUAGAUUACUGUAGUGUUCAAAAUGGAGGGAGGUAGGAAUGGGUAUUUUUAAUAUAUUUUUAUAUAAAUACACUUAAUACCAAAUGGUUACCUUGAAAUGCUGCAAUAUGCUCUUUCAGUGUUAAAUGAUAUCAUGAAUCACCUCACUAAAGCGGCCUAAUUGUUUCUGAGUUGACAAGUAGUUUCCACUUAUGAACAAACAUACUUAAGAAAUACUAUAUUGAAAAUAAAGGCCUCAUAGUAGUAACUCGAUGCA
rnacentral:lncRNA from 1 species